rnacentral:rRNA from 1 species
GACGAACGCUGGCGGCGUGCUUAACACAUGCAAGUCGAACGAAGUGGCGAACGGGUGAGUAACGCGUAAUCAACCUGCCCUUCAGAGGGGGACAACAGUUGGAAACGACUGCUAAUACCGAAUACUGAAGGAGGGGAUUGCGUCUGAUUAGCUAGUUGGAGGGGUAACGGCCCACCAAGGCGAUGAUCAGUAGCCGGUCCGGGAGGAUGAACGGCCACCUUGUGACCUAGACAAGGUCCAGACUCCUACGGGGGGCAGCAGUGGGGAAUCUUCCGCAAUGGACGAAAGUCUGACGGAGCAACGCCGCGUGAGGGAUGACGGCCUUCGGGUUGUAAAGCUCUGUUAAUCGGGACGCGGUACCGGAAUAGAAAGCCACGGCUAAAGACGUGCCAGCAGACGCGGUAAUAC